rnacentral:lncRNA from 7 species
GGAUUCGCUUUCCUUCUUUUCGCUGUUACCGAGGUCGGCUGAAUCCCCGCUCCAAGCACCCACAGUGAUGGACCCAUAGGUCCCCAGCCUCCAAUUUAACGAUAUUUUCUCUAUUUUGUGAAAAUUUGGCUCAAAAUAAGCCGUUUUAGUAAUCUGUUUUAAUACCUGUUAUUAUAUAUUUUCUGCUAUAGCAGUAAUUGCUGCUAACUGCACUAAUUUGUUGGAGUUGGGGUUUUCUGUGCAAUCCAGCCUGAAAGCAACGACCUUGGGACCAGCAGAUUGUCGCCCCGCUGCCACCACCCAUGUGGACGCAGGAUGUCAGCAGGGCCAUCGGCCCCUCUGAGGUGUCCCCAGAGCUGCUGCAGCCCCUGGUGACUGUGGUGGCCACCUUGGGCAAGUUGGGGACCAUCCCUGGUGACAUCUCCCUGGGAGGGGACAUGGGCUCACUGCGGGCCAGGCUACUGACCUUCAGCUCUGGCGUGCGCAAAGCCAUGGUGCACCCAGAUGGCGAUGCCACCCAAGGGGACAUGGGUAUCCCCAAGGAGCUAGCAGAGAUAGUGGUGGUGGCUGAGGCGCUGUGGGACGCCAGUGCCCGCCUGGCCCAGGAGCACCUCUUGGGGACACUGCGGGGUGUUCGGAGCCUGCUGGCCACCUCCAGUGUCACUGAGGCCACCAAAGUCACCCAGCGCUGCCAAGAGGCCACCAACGCCCUCCCUGGGCUGCUGCCACCGGGGCUGUGCUAGGGGACAAACACGUCCAUCAGGGACCGGUGGUAUCAACAACACCAUGAGAUCAUGGAGACAGCAGAUGGGGCCGUUAGGACCACCAUUCCAACCACCAAUGGAGUGAGGGCUGUCAUGAAAUAUCACCUCAGUGUCACCUCCGUGCAUCCCCUCAACACCUCCAGGGAUGCCAGCACUUCCUGGUAAAAAAUGGGAAAACAGUUUUGUUUUAUAAAAAUUAUUUUGUUUUAAAAAAAUGGUUUUGCUUUAUAAAAAUGUUAUCACC